CCUACGGGAGGCAGCAGUGGGGAAUAUUGGACAAUGGGCGAAAGCCUGAUCCAGCAAUGCCGCGUGAGUGAUGAAGGCCUUAGGGUUGUAAAGCUCUUUUACCAGGGAUGAUAAUGACAGUACCUGGAGAAUAAGCUCCGGCUAACUUCGUGCCAGCAGCCGCGGUAAUACGAGGGGAGCUAGCGUUGUUCGGAAUUACUGGGCGUAAAGCGUGCGUAGGCGGUUACUCAAGUCAGAGGUGAAAGCCCGGGGCUCAACCCCGGAACGGCCUUUGAAACUAGGUAACUAGAAUCUUGGAGAGGUUAGUGGAAUUCCGAGUGUAGAGGUGAAAUUCGUAGAUAUUCGGAAGAACACCAGUGGCGAAGGCGACUAACUGGACAAGCAUUGACGCUGAGGCACGAAAGCGUGGGGAGCAAACAGGAUUAGAUACCCUGGUAGUCCACGCCGUAAACGAUGAUAACUAGCUGUCCGGGCACUUGGUGCUUGGGUGGCGCNGCUACGCAUUAAGUUAUCCGUCCGUCGGGUAGGUACGGUCGCGAGAAGUUAAAACGUUAAAAGGUAAAGUUAGUACGGCGUGUAAGUACGUGCGACGGACGACGACGAGGGAGGAGG
rnacentral:rRNA from 1 species